AACGAUGUACUUUCAUUCAACACAAUAGCUUCAACACUAGGUGGACACAAAUUGAUCUUACUAGAAGAGUCGAUUGGUCAUCUAUAGGAUCAACUAGUGUAUCCACUCGCACAACAUGUACAUCAUCCACAAGUGGUAAGGAAUCAAUAUACUCAUAUGUAGGUAAGCUACUACUCACACUCAACGGCUUAUUAGUCACAUGUUCAUUAUUCACAUGUACCAAAGUAUAA
rnacentral:lncRNA from 1 species